AAAGAAUAAUGAAACAAUUACAGGAGUGAGUACAAAUGAGGGGGAGGCUCUCUAUUUAUAGUUGAGCUCCCCCAAAACCGAUGGCUACAAUUAAAAGCUGUAUUCAAUUAGGACUCUAACUUUACAGAAUUAGAAGCUGUGUACAAUUAGAACUUCUAAGACUACUUAGUCCUAUCUUCAUUAUCGGGCCCAUCAGGCUUCAAUGUGACAGGCCUGUCCAACAGCUCUUUGAAUCGGGCCAGUUCUUGUAGGCCAAAUGAUCCCCAUCUGAGCAACAGACCUCCAUUGGAUGCAUUUGGUGCGCUUGUCACGGGCUUUGAACUGCGGUCCGUGACACUAG
rnacentral:lncRNA from 1 species